UGGACACUGGCCCUUGAGGACUAGAGUUUGACACCUGUGUGCUAGACUAACCACGAUGAUGAUUUGUGGUGUUCCUUUCUGAGCGUGACGAGGACAGAGAAUAAUGACUCAAGUCGUAUGUCUUAUAUCUUUGAUGAUCGUUCUUUACUUCCUUGUGGAGUAAUGAGGAAGGGAAGAAGGUCAGAGUGGU